rnacentral:snoRNA from 1 species
UUCCAGUGAUGAUCAAAGGUUAUCAAACAAACAGUUCUGCUUCUGAUUUUUAUUGAAGAAACCGUUACCAGCUUACCAAAUUUCUGAUUU